rnacentral:rRNA from 1 species
GUCUUGAAACACGGACCAAGGAGUCUAACAUGUAUGCGAGUAUAAGGGUGGCAAACCCGUAUGCGCAAUGAAAGUGAUUUUCGGUGAUUGAGAAUGGCCUGAUGACCAGACAAGCAAUAUUAUGUCCCUCGUACGGCCAUUGCCCAAGUUCCGUGGUAGAUCCCACGAACAUGGAGUUGGAGCAUACAUGCUAGGACCCGAAAGAUGGUGAACUAUGCCUGGACAAAGUGAAGCCAAAGGAAACUCUGGUGGAGGCUUGUAGCGAUUCUGACGUGCAAAUCGAUCGUCUGAUCUGGGUAUAGGGGCGAAAGACUAAUCGAACCAU